rnacentral:rRNA from 1 species
UACGUAGGGGGCAAGCGUUGUCCGGAUUUAUUGGGCGUAAAGAGCAUGUAGGCGGCCAAACAGGUCAGCUGUGAAAACUCGAGGCUCAACCUCGAGACGUCGGUUGAAACCGUUUGGCUAGAGUCCGGAAGAGGAGAGUGGAAUUCCCGGUGUAGCGGUGAAAUGCGCAGAUAUCGGGAAGAACACCCGUGGCGAAGGCGGCUCUCUGGGACGGUACUGACGCUGAGACGCGAAAGCGUGGGGAGCGAACAGG